AGAGUUUGAUCCUGGCUCAGGAUGAACGCUAGCUACAGGCUUAACACAUGCAAGUCGCGGGGCAGCAUGGGGGUUGCUUGCAACCCCUGAUGGCGACCGGCGCACGGGUGAGUAACGCGUAUCCAACCUGCCCUUCACCACGGGAUAACCCGGCGAAAGUCGGACUAAUACCGUAUGUUGUCCAUUGACGGCAUCCGAUUUGGACGAAAGGCUUAGCGGUGAGGGAUGGGGAUGCGUCCGAUUAGCUUGACGGCGGGGUAACGGCCCACCGUGGCUACGAUCGGUAGGGGUUCUGAGAGGAAGGUCCCCCACACUGGAACUGAGACACGGUCCAGACUCCUACGGGAGGCAGCAGUGAGGAAUAUUGGUCAAUGGGCGGAAGCCUGAACCAGCCAAGUAGCGUGCAGGAUGACGGCCCUAUGGGUUGUAAACUGCUUUUAUGCGGGGAUAAAGGGGCCCACGUGUGGGCUUUUGCAGGUACCGCAUGAAUAAGGACCGGCUAAUUCCGUGCCAGCAGCCGCGGUAAUACGGAAGGUCCGGGCGUUAUCCGGAUUUAUUGGGUUUAAAGGGAGCGUAGGCCGCCCCUUAAGCGUGUUGUGAAAUGCGGGUGCUCAACAUCCGACUUGCAGCGCGAACUGGGGGGCUUGAGUGCGCCGAAAGUAGGCGGAAUUCGUGGUGUAGCGGUGAAAUGCUUAGAUAUCACGAAGAACUCCGAUUGCGAAGGCAGCUUACUGUAGCGCAACUGACGCUGAUGCUCGAAAGCGUGGGUAUCGAACAGGAUUAGAUACCCUGGUAGUCCACGCGGUAAACGAUGGAUGCUCGUUGUCGGCCUUUGUGGUCGGUGACCAAGCGAAAGCGUUAAGCAUCCCACCUGGGGAGUACGCCGGCAACGGUGAAACUCAAAGGAAUUGACGGGGGCCCG
rnacentral:rRNA from 1 species